UUUAAAAAUCUAAUUACUGCACUGGUAUCGAAUUGAAAGGGCAUCAGUUUUCUCAGAUGAUGAGGAUGAUGAUGAUGAUUCUGAGUAUCAAAGACGGACGCUUCAAAAGCCUCCUCUUGUCGUUCAGUUUCCAAAAGAGAGAGCAUCUCAACCCCCACUUGUCUUCUCCAGAGCCAAGUAGAUAUCCACAACCAACUGACAUUCAUUAUACGCCAAAAGAAAGAAGUGCAAAUGUAGCUCCUCCCAACCUGUCAGGAAAAUCUGAAUAGUUGUUGCAUGUUCCGGAUCGGCGGCUAUUCACUGCAAUUGAAAAUAUUCAAGAGGAACAGUCCCAGCAAAGGGAAAUGUUGCAGUCUAUACUGCAGCUAAUUCAAAAUAUUCCAUCCUCAUCCUCCAUCUCGGAGACAAGAAAUCUCCCCGACACAAUUCAUUUCCCUUGUGGAUUAAAAUAACAUAUUAAGUUGUACAUUUUA
rnacentral:lncRNA from 1 species